GACCCCUUCCUCCUUCUCACUGCUUUUGCAAUAAGGGAAACUGAGACCUGGAGAUACCGUCUGGUGCAGCCAAGGUCAAACAGCUGGGAGUGGCCACAGGCACAGGGUUAGGGUUUGGCUGGGCUCGGAGCCCACAGUCACGGGUGCUAGCCCCUGAUGUAUUUCCUCAUUCCGUUCACCUUCUCGAACCUCAGUUCUCUCCUGUAAAGUGGGGAAAGUAAAACCACAUCUCCCAGAGAUAUUUAAGGAUCAGAUGAGUUCAUGUGGGUUUGAAACCACAAAGGAACGUUAACACCUUUUAUUGGUAUUCUUAAAGAAGGCUCUGGUGGUGCCAGCAAUCGGGUUAUUUUGGCUUCUUUGAACAAUUCAGAGAGCUGUAGCAGUGGCAUAAUUGAGGUGACUUUGCUGUUGGGUGUGGGCAGCCACAGGUAUGGACCAGCAGGGACAAGCAGCCUUCUCAGAUGGGGUCCUUUGUGUUCUUGGCAGACUUCUAAAUAAUACAUUGGUUUACUUAUUUUUUUUUCCUGCAGGAAUUAAAAUAAGAUACAACAUUUCUCACGGAAGCCAGGAUACAUCUAAGUAAAUCAAGAAAUUCAAACACGUCAUCUGUUUUGGCUGGAAGCAAACUCCUGUUAUGCUUUCCUGUGCCUCUGACCAUCACUUUGCAGGGACUCCUGGCAGGUAGGCUGAGGAAGGCGGGUCCCUGGGUGCUCCCCGGGGGUGUGGGGCCUGGCCCAGCCCUGUUUCCUCCCUCUUCCCUUGUCACUGUAGCUGAAGGGGACCCAGGAGAGCUGAUCCUGGGGUAGAGGGAGGAGAAAGCGGGGGUGUGAGUCAGCCCGGCCCCUUCCUAUGAGAAAAGGUAUCAGGUCAUUUUUACCUUUCCAAGCACUUUUUCAGGCCUGUCAUAUCAAGGCUCCCUCCUCCCUCCCAGCCUCUGUCACAUCUUGGCUAUUAUGGCACCUUUCCAGUGUGGUAAGUUCUUAAAACAUGAAACGUUUCAUCAACGGAUGCAGAAACACACAAAGCUGCGCUUGUUAAUGGGGGUUCCGCGUGAUGUUCUGAUGGACGACUACCUUGUGUAAUCGGGAACCUUAUCUGGCUCCUCAAAUGUCUGUCUUGUCUUGCGUAUUAUGAGAUGGAAAACACAUGAUCUCUAUCUACAGUGACCCUCUGUGCAAUCUAUAGUCACCCCCUUGUGCAACCCUGCUGUGCUAUUUAUAGUCACCCUACUGCUCAUACCUAGCUGGAACUCGGGGCUCCCUGAUCAACCCUCUUAGUACUUUGGUAACCCUAACCCUAACCCUAGCCCUAACUAGAGGAGUUAUUUAUAAUGGUCAGGCUUCGAAUUUCAUCUUAAGUUGCCUUUUCCAUUUUCAAGCUUUUAUAGCUUCCAAUCUUUCUGAGCCUGCAUAUUUUAAUGAAAGGAAAUUUCUUCUGUGAGAAUGAUAUUCUCCAGACACAUCCAGCUCCAGGGCCCGAAGAGAAUGCAGUCUGUUUUACACCUCGGAGCCCUGAGCACCCCCAGGGUCCAGGAGUGGUGGGGAGACGGACCUUUUGACUCUCAUGGACAAGAAGCUGCCCAGGCUGAGGAGGGGGCAGGUUUGCUGGAGGCAGGUGCCCAUCAGUGGCUCCCAGGGGUCAGUGUGGCAUGAAGCUGGACACUGCUGGACAGUCUGGUCAUGAGUUUGGAACAGCUGAAGGACAGAUGACUAGUCCUUACAACUCUGCUGGAUUCCAGGGGAGUGAGAGACCCCAGAUCUCCCAGGCAGCUGGUCAACCCUUUCCUUCCUCAUCUCUCCGAAGCUUAGAAAGAAAAGAAACACAAUCAAAACAAUUUCAAAGCACUGUGAGAAAGAGACAGUUCAGGUGGUACAGUUUCAGAACGUAGUAUCAGGCCUUAAUUGGUAUGUAAAUUCCAAUCAUUGCCAUUUUAACUCCAGCCCUUCCCUCUGCCCACCCCGACUUUGAAAUUAGCAGGUUGUGCAGAUUGUAAGGAGCUCCUCCUGUCGAGGUGGGGCAGCGCUGCAUUAGGGAUCGCAGCCGGUGACGGCCUGCCCAGGUGUGCUUGCUCGCAGGGUUGGCAGCAGGCCCUUCCGCAGAGGUCAUGCUGGCCUUGCUGAGCUGCUCUGAGCACGUUUUGAUUCCUGUGGCACCUGGUGUUUCUAACUGUGCCCGGGUUGGUUCUUCUGUUUUCAUUUCCUUUUACAACAGAGCUUUCCAGCUCCUGAGGGAACCAGGCACAGAGGCGGAGAGGUGAAGUCCUGAGGGAGUCCCCGCAGGGACCCCUCUGGGCGUGAAGAGCCCCAGCACGGGGCCCCUCUGGGUGCGAAGAGCAGCAGGGAGUCAAUCUCCACUUGCUGACUCCAUCUUCCCAGUAAGGGAAUAACAUCAAGAUGGGAGGGAGUCGCAGACUUGCUGCAGGGUGAAGGGCGGCUCGGCAGGGGCACUGCCGUGGGUCCCACGAGGAGGGUGGGCUGGAGGCAGCACCGGGCCUCAGAUGGGCCACUUCCUCCUUCCUGCUUAGCUGGGCCCUGCAGACCUGCGGUGACACCCCAAGGACCUGGGAUCAAAUGACAGCUCUGCUGAAGGGUUAAGAGCAACUCUAUCCUCUUGGCCCAGGCUUUGGAAUUUUCAUUAAAAUGACCCAAGGAAUGGUGAGAGGGAUUCAGGCCACGGGGUCCCGUCGCCAUGCUAAGACCACCAAAGGUCUCCUGAGAAAAGGCCUUCUCCCUGCCUUCCUCGCGCAGAGUUGUCUUCGAGGUGUGGGAGAGUGAGGAGCGGAGAGUCUUGGGCAGGCAGAGGAGGCAGGACGGCACCGGAGGCUGGCCUCCUUCCACCUGGAGCCUCUGAUCCCGACUUCCCCUCUCACCUGCCGGCUUGUGGGCAGGUGCUGGCGCUCCCUCUGCACUUCCUGACGGGUUGUGGGGAAGAGGCCAUGUGCACCCAGGGCGGGCCUGGCAGAGCCUGCAGUCCAGCACAGGCGGGCAGGUGGGCUGCAGGACUGAGGCUUAAAAAGGUGGACUAGAGACAAGGAAGACGCCUCAGAGAUCUAAGGACACUCCCAGUGGGAGGACUCGGAGACAACUAAAUCCAGUGGGGGCUACCAAGAUUUUCUGAAAAGAAAAUAGAUUUUUUUUUUGAGCGAUUCUAACGUCUCUGGAGUACUGGGGUGGACUUAGCCAAGGGAGAGAAACUCACGGGAAAGUCCCGUGGGUCACUGAUAGAUCAAUGGACACCGUCCAGGAGAGAGAAUCAGAACAGAGCCAGUCAGCAGGGCCCUGCCGGGGAAGCCACACGGAUCUCGGGCGGCUUUGUUCAUGCCCAGCAAGGGUGGAUCUCCACAGCCGCCGGGUCUAGAAUCCCUCGUGCCCAGUUCUCAGAUCGGAAGGGUCCAGCUUUAGCAUGGGAAGGGUCUUCGUCUCCCCUCGGGCUGGAGGGGGAGGAGGGGAGAACCUGUCUUGAUGCUCGUGAUUGCAGCGCCAGCAGUUCACUCUGGCCCUCCAGAUCCUGAAGGACUGCAGGCUGCCAGUGUGGGCAUGGUCACUGUGGUCAUUACGAUGGCUACUGACCACAGGAUGACCUCUGCACUAGACAAUGACAAGACGCACCCACGUUCUUCCUGGCUUGGGAGACCAACAAGGCCAGCACCUCUCUGAUGGCUGAGGCUCUAAAAUACGAGGAGAGCUCAGGGCUGCAGAGGCCAGGGUUUCAGCUCCGUGCACCAGAAAGCCAGAGGAAGCCUUUGGUAGAACGGGAGAGCACAGGGACAGAGGUGGCCAGGGAGAGGCCAGAGUCAGGAGCCUCAAAUUACCCACAGGUUCUGUGACACAUGUUUCUUACAAACAACUUCCCUUUUGCUAAGGUCUGUAGGUUACUCCAUCUGCACAGGGAGCCUGGACUGAGGAACAUCAGCAAAGCCAUGGCUUGGACAGAGAAGACGUAACCGAGACAGAAUGAACGAUGGGAAUGCUAAAUGGCGUCUGGCCCCACGUCCCAGGCAGGUCUGCUGCUGUUCUGAGUCUCUGCUCGGCCCCUUUCGGUUCUGCAGGCUGAGACCAAGGGCGUGUCUGCCCUUUUCUGUAGUAGAUGGCACAUUGAUGACACCCAGGCAAUCACCUGCAAGCCCAGCCAGAGACAAGUGUGGGCAGGUUCUGGAUUCAGUAGGAUUCUGUGCUGCUGUCAAGUCCAAGGAUUCACAGUAGGUUUGUCUUGGGAAGUCCCCUUGGUGAGCACUCCACAACCAGCUGCAGGAGUUGUGUCUGCUGGGCAUCAUGACAGGCAACAAGGACACCCUGCAGGGACCCUAUAUUGGCAUCAUGGCAGAGGGCAAAUGGCACUGAAGCAAAGAGAAGCAGAGGGCAAGAGCACACUCGGUGAUUUAGUGCAUCCAAGACAGUUUUUCAAAAGCAUUGACACAUGUGACGAGGCUUGAUUUAAUCAGAUGAGAGGAGGGAGAGAGAGGAAGAAAGUGUUUUAGAAAAAUGCAGCCGGGCCCAGGUGGGCAAAGGCCCGCCGUCUCUCAGGCCCACCUCAUCUCCUUACUCCCCGACCUCUUGGUUCCAUUCACAAGCACCCGUGACCACCUCAGGCACUGUCUGCAUCCUGGGGGUCGGCCCUCACCCCUGCCCCACCGGGUGUGCCAGGCUACUGCUUCCUGGCUCCGUGCACUUGCUGCCAACCCAGCUCUGAGGUGCCUAAGGAGAAGAGGCGCAUGCAGCAGGUGAGGAGGCAGGAGCAGGAGACAGAGGCAGAGGGUCCACACCAGGCUGGGGCCUGGUUAAGGCUGGAGCCUGCUUAAGGCUGGCGUGGUGCAUGGAGAGCAGAGGGUGGGUCUGGGAUGGUGGUAGUGGAGGGACCCCAGAACUGGUUUUACCAGGCCCCUUUGAUGAGUUCAGGUGGCCGUCUUGUUUCUGCUCUUUUUUCCUGUCCUAACAGCAGAAGAUUCAGAUCUGAGUUUCUGGAAGCGACGUCGAUGAGAGUGGAGCACGUCUCCUGGUGUGUCUUUACUCCUCGCCAGCUGGGCACUGAGAAGGCGGGAGACUUGGGUAUUCCUAUCACAUGAUCCACUGCCUUUGGGGGCCCACCCCAGCCGGGUGCCUCCAGGAGGACUGUCCGGCCGUCAGCCUUCAGAGAACCUGCAUUCUGUGAAAGAUCAGAAUUCAUCUCUGAGAAGCACUAAAUCUACGAGGCUGUUCCAAACCUUUCUCGUCUAUGUUCUCUUCACAAAUAGCUGAGUAGGUUGUUCCCAAACCUGCAUGACAGAGGCAGCAUGUUGGGUCAGUUCAGGAACUUGACUCCUCUGUCCAAGGAGAAGCUGGUUGGACCUAAUCAAUCCGGGUCCUUCUCGCUUUCUUCAGCGUCUGUACUUUGUUGUUCUAUCUAUGGCUUUCUUUCUUUUUUUUUAAGCUGCUAAUAGAAGUUUGGUAACUGUUUCACAGGAACUAUUUUCAUUUGUAAGCAUGGUUUUAAGAGUAAAAUAUGGGACCCCUGCAGUCCUGCUAUAAUUUUUAUUAUAUUGCAAAUGAUAAAAGAGGCCAACUAAAGUUUUUUUUUUUC